CGUGCAAUGAUGAACUUUUAAGACAAUGUUACUAAUAAAUGGAGUUAUAAAAUUGGGAACGGUUGAAAAUUGGAAUAGGACUAAUAUGUUCAAAAUUGAAACUAUUUAUGCGAUAAAGGAAUUUACUAACACCAAAGGAUCUUAUUGAUAUUUUGGACAUAAAGGCGAUGCCAAUUUAAUCCGAUCCCUGCCCAAACCUAGAUGAACCCAGAGAAUAGGCUGGCUUCAACCCAAACUGGAGCAAAUUUUAUAUGGAAUUCGGAUGCAAAUUACUGAACCCAGACGUAUCCAGAUCCGGGUCUGGGUUUAUGUUAACCCAUAGAUACAGAAUCUAGACCCGGAAGCUUUUAUUUUAAUAUUAAUUUUUUUAGAUUAUAUAAUACAAAUAGAAAAGUACAAAAAAGGCCCAAGUGCCCUAGUUGCAUUCAUAGCUGCGGCUGCCAAAGCCAACAUUUCCUGUCUGUCUCUUUUCAGGUCUUUUCUUCAUCAAAUUAAAUCAUCGUUGUCAUCGCUUCACUAUCUUUGCGGUUGUGUUCAUCUCAUCAUCAUCAUCAGCCAUCAUUUCUUCUUCCCUGUCACAGCCAGUAACAAGUUGUGAUACGAGUUGAACGCCACCUUCGCUAAUCGUGAUCGUGGCUGUGUUUAAUGUACAUCGUCACUAGCUGCUAUCGGGACCAGUAACCAGCCCCGAUACAGGUUGAACUAGCUAGCCUUCGCCGUUCGUGUUGCUUCGUGGGAUGUUGAUUCCUUGAAGUUCGCUUUGAAACUUUAAGUUUUAGAAUUUAGAUUGCGUAUUUGUAUUUGAUUUUUUUAGAACCUAGAUUUGUAUUUAUAUUUGAUUUAGAUUUAUUCUUUUUUUUUUUUUUUUUUAAAAAGAAACUUUAAACAGGUCGAUUACAAAAACAAUCUUUUGAUUUCAUUCUCUGAACUUUACAAGCAAUUUGGGUUUAAAACUUGCAAUCUGGGAAUCUGAAUUUUUCUGGGUUGAACCCGAACCGAACUUGCAUUGGAAAAAAACCUGGUUCAUAAUCGGGUCUAGUACAACAAAUUGGCAUCUGGGUUUGGAAUCGAGAAGGCCGAACCUAGACCCAGACCUAGAUUUUAGCAUCCCUACACAAGGCAUUUAUUACUCAUGGCUCAAUCUUCGUACUCUUCUUGUUUUUCACUCACCACUUGAUUCCUAAACCAUAUCACCUUUAAGGGUAUUUAUAGUAAGUGAAAGCAAAAUAAAAGCCACACAACUGAAAAAUUAAAAAGAAAAUUACCUCAUUCUAAACUUACCAUUAAUUUCUUAAUGAUCACCAAAUUUUACAACUACCACCACCAAUCAUUCAAGAUAUUUGACCAAAGAUAAUUCUAGAUAAACUGAGAAAAUAUUCUCUUUUGUUGGAUUUAUUAUUUAGGCUCAUGAAAUUGGUGUUGGCCUUUAAGUAAGAACAAUUCUCAAAACCCAAUAACCUAAAUACAAUUAGAUCCCCUCUAGAAUAGUUAAGAAAACGCUCUCUCAAAAUUCUAGGUAAAAGCUCACUAUUAAAAUGCUCUCAAUUUCAGAAUUUGGGAUGCUUUUAGCUCUCUUAAAUGAAGCUCUAUUUAUAGCCCGUUGGUAGCUUAGAGCUUGAUCCUGUUUAUAGGCAGUUAAUAAAUGAAAGAAAUCGAAGCUAAUUAAUUACAAUAAUACAAGACUACAGAGAAUAGCAUACGUGUUAUUCAUUUUUCUUCUUCUCUACUUGAUUUGAUCUAAUGGACCCUAUUCGCUGUACUUUACAAAUGACCGUUCAUUCUCGU
rnacentral:lncRNA from 1 species